UAAUGUGAUUUUCAUUUGUUUGGAUUUGUGUUUGGAUGUGCUCUUUUUCUCCCGCGAUCGUUAAAAGAAUCCUUUAUAUAUUUUCUUCGUCGUGAGCUUGAUUUACACUCCAGCACGUAUUACAGAAAAGUGGACUGAAAAAGUGAGUUUAGUGGCAUUGUUCUUUCCUUUUCGUUUUGUUUUCUCCCGGAAUGGAUAUCCCGGCAGUCCAGCUCCUAUGCCUGCAACAGUCGGACUGUUCGCUGGAGGACUAUACUAGGGACUUUUUCGAUCUGGCAUGCCUUACACACUUCCCAGACUGCUCGCUCUGUGCUUUUUAUCACGGCCUGAGCGAGCGGUGUAAGGCACGCCUACCAGUGAAUGGUCCCAGAGAGGAUUUCGCCACUUGUGGAGUGGGUGCUGGAGAAAAAUGGAUCUCCGUUCACCGUCUGCCUCGCUGAGGAGGAUAGCUCCAGCCCCACUCCCAAACCAGAGACCAGCCCGCUGUACGGAGCAAGUGCCAGAGCCCACCGCAGAGCCUGAGCCGGACAUGAUUACAGAGCCAAUCAUCGCCCCAGAGCUAGGACUCGAGAGCGCGACUGACCAGGUGUGUGAGCCGGCAACACCGUGCAUCGUGCGAGUACUAGUGGAGAUCGAGGGCUUGAAGGGAGGCCCCACCCACACUCCUGCUGCUGAGGGUGAGCUGUCACUGGACCAUAUACAGAGUAACUUAUGGACAUUUUUGAAGUGGAUUUAAUAGACUGGUUUGGGGAGGAAACUCCCAGUCCUCCUAUGUCUCCGCUAGUUCUACCCAGCCCUAGAUCUCCUGUGUCUCCGCUGGUUCUGUCCAGCCCUGAUCCUCCUGUGUCCCCUCCCAGCCUCUCUCCUGCCGCCUCCUAGAUCAGUCAGUUCCUCUGCUCCAUCUGCCUGUCAGUCCUUCAGCUUACCCUCAGUCAGCACCAUCUGAGCACUCUGGUCCGCCUCAGGACUUCCAGUCUCCAGCUCCGCCUUGGCAUGAGGAUCCCCUCUCUCCGCUUCCAGCCUGCGAGUCCUGGACUCCACCUCGGACUUCCGACCCAUUGGCUCCACCUUGGCUCUUAGCUCACUUGUCUCCACCAUGGCCCAGCAUCCCACCAGCUCCACCGGGUUCCCUCGUCCCUCCGGCUCCACCUUGGUCAGUUGUCGAUCAUCCGCUGCCUCGGGACUCCACUCCUCUGGCUUCGCCUAGUCACUAUAUCCCUGAGGCUCUAUCAGGCUCCUUCCCUCCGGCUCCACCUCCAUCCUCAGUCGCUCCGCAGCGGUCUUCCAGUGCCCCGCCUCCGCCUUGGUCGCCUGAGCCUUCUGCUCCGCCUUGGCCCUCUGGAUCCUCGGCAUCACCCUGGCUCUGCGGCUGCUCUGCUCCAUCUUGUGCUCCUCAUCCACCAGUGCAGUCUCUGUCAGUCGGCCCCCUGGUGUUGUCGGCUCCUCCACCACCAUGGCUCCUCCCGCUGUCGACUCCACCGUGGGUCAUCAUCCUGGCUGGCCUCUGGAUGACCAUCUGGCUCCUGGCUCCUCCCUCCAUCCACUCCACCCUGGUACUAUGCUCCAUGCUCCCUCUCCAUUGCCUGCCCCACGCCCGCCUCCUGAACCCCCACCCUCCCUCUGCUGGACUCUCUUUCGGUGAGAGGACGCACCGUUCCAGGAGGGGGCGAACUGUCACUUAGUUUCCUUAUUUGGUCAGGUCCCUUUUCUUGUUUAGUUAAUUAAUUAGCCCCACACCUGUUUCUGUUUCCCACUGAUUAUAUUCACUAUUUAAAGUUGGUGUUCUCCUUUAUUCCUUUGUCCGCUAUUAAUGUGAUGUUUGUUUAUUUGGAUUUGUGUUGUGGAUGUGCCCUUUUUCUCCCGUG
ensembl:lncRNA